AAGCGUCACAUUAACGGGGCUUUUUUGAGCUAGAUGGAGAACAGUGUGGAUGGGACCAGGAGGUUGGACUCCCCCAAGGAGCACAGAUCCACACUUCUUGCCUUGCAGGACAGAGGCCAGGCACAGGAGGGAGCUUUCUGCUUGCACACAUCAUGACCCAGCACUGUGGCAGCAGGCAGUUUACAGUGAAACAGCAAUAGCUCAGUCCCAGGACCGCUGCAGUGCCCAGGCUCUCACUGCAGAACAGAAAGCAGUUCCCAGGAGGAGCUGCCCAUGACCCAAAACAGCCCC